GACGAACGCUGGCGGCGUGCUUAACACAUGCAAGUCGAACGGAAAGGCCCUGCUUUUGUGGGGUGCUCGAGUGGCGAACGGGUGAGUAACACGUGAGUAACCUGCCCUUGACUUUGGGAUAACUUCAGGAAACUGGGGUAAAUACGGGAUAGGAGCUCCGGCUGAAUGUGGGGGGUUGGAAGGUUUCGGCGGUUGGGGAUGGACUCGCGGCUUAUCAGCUUGUUGGUGGGGUAGUGGCUUACCAAGGCUUUGACGGGUAGCCGGCCUGAGAGGGUGACCGGCCACAUUGGGACUGAGAUACGGCCCAGACUCCUACGGGAGGCAGCAGUGGGGAAUAUUGCACAAUGGGCGGAAGCCUGAUGCAGCAACGCCGCGUGCGGGAUGACGGCCUUCGGGUUGUAAACCGCUUUCGCCUGUGACGAAGCGUGAGUGACGGUAAUGGGUAAAGAAGCACCGGCUAACUACGUG
rnacentral:rRNA from 1 species